GAGUUUGAUCAUGGCUCAGAACGAACGCUGGCGGCAUGCCUAACACAUGCAAGUCGAACGGGAUCCAGGCUUCGGCCUGGUGAGAGUGGCGGACGGGUGAGUAACGCGUGGGAACCUGCCCAAUGGUCUGGGAUAACCGCGGGAAACUGCGGCUAAUACCGGAUAAGCCCGAGAGGGGAAAGAUUUAUCGCCGAUGGAGGGGCCCGCGUCCGAUUAGGUAGUUGGUGAGGUAACGGCUCACCAAGCCGACGAUCGGUAGCUGGUCUGAGAGGAUGAUCAGCCACACUGGGACUGAGAUACGGCCCAGACUCCUACGGGAGGCAGCAGUGGGGAAUAUUGGACAAUGGGGGCAACCCUGAUCCAGCAAUGCCGCGUGAGUGAUGAAGGCCUUAGGGUUGUAAAGCUCUUUUGGCGGGACGAUGAUGACGGUACCCGCAGAAUAAGCCCCGGCUAACUUCGUGCCAGCCGCCGCUGUAAU
rnacentral:rRNA from 1 species